rnacentral:rRNA from 1 species
AGAGCGAACGCUGGCGGCAGGCUUAACACAUGCAAGUCGAGCGGGCGUAGCAAUACGUCAGCGGCAGACGGGUGAGUAACGCGUGGGAACGUACCUUUUGGUUCGGAACAACUGAGGGAAACUUCAGCUAAUACCGAAUAAGCCCUUACGGGGAAAGAUUUAUCGCCGAAAGAUCGGCCCGCGUCUGAUUAGCUUGUUGGUGAGGUAAUGGCUCACCAAGGCGACGAUCAGUAGCUGGUCUGAGAGGAUGAUCAGCCACAUUGGGACUGAGACACGGCCCAAACUCCUACGGGAGGCAGCAGUGGGAAUAUUGGACAAUGGGCGCAAGCCUGAUCCAGCCAUGCCGCGUGAGUGAUGAAGGCCCUAGGGUUGUAAAGCUCUUUUGUGCGGGAAGAUAAUGACGGUACCGCAAGAAUAAGCCCCGGCUAACUUCGCGCCAGCAGCCGC